rnacentral:tRNA from 1 species
AGGGUUGUGGCUCAGCGGUAGAGCACUCGCCUAGCACAUGUGAGGCCCUGGGUUCAAUUCUCAGCAUCACAU